CGUAGAUGGCAAGCGUUGUCCGGAUUUAUUGGGCGUAAAGCGAGCGCAGGCGGUUCUUUAAGUCUGAUGUAGAAACGCCCCCAGCUCAACGUGGGGGAAGGUCAUUGGAAAACUGGGGGAACUUGAGUGCAGAAGAGGAGAGUGGAAUUCCACGUGUAGCGGUAGAAAUGCGUAGAUAUGUGGAGGAACACCAGUGGCGAAGGCGACUCUCUGGUCUGUAACUGACGCUGAGGCUCGAAAGCGGUGGGGAGCAAACAGGAUU
rnacentral:rRNA from 1 species